AUGGUGGUGCUUCUUUUCCUUUCUGCAGCGACGCCAUGCUCCUUCUCCAACGAACAACGUUGCGCUGCCGCCCUUCUCACUUUCUCCUCCGUAUUCUCAUCUUGGAUCAAUCUUUUUCGUUUGGUAUUUCACUGCUUCCCUGCGUCGAGUUUCAAUUUGCAAUGUCCGUUUCGGUUUCGACCUAGCUUCUACGAGUUCUACCUUCUUUGCGGAUCCAACAACAAAAAGGCAAACAUAAAUUGA